rnacentral:sRNA from 1 species
GGUUUUACUUCAAAGUCAUUCAAAUGCCUCAAAGAACUAAUAACUCAUUUUAGUGAAUCAUCAUGCUUAGAUGAUAUGCAGACUCAAAUGAUAUUCAUA